rnacentral:rRNA from 1 species
UACGUAGGUGGCAAGCGUUGUCCGGAUUUACUGGGCGUAAAGGGUUCGUAGGUGGCUCGCUAAGUCAGACGUGAAAUCCCUCAGCUUAACUGGGGAACUGCGUCUGAGACUGGCGAGCUCGAGUGCAGGAGAGGAACGCGGAAUUCCAGGUGUAGCGGUGAAAUGCGUAGAUAUCUGGAGGAACACCGGUGGCGAAGGCGGCGUUCUGGACUGCAACUGACACUGAGGAACGAAAGCCAGGGUAGCAAACGGG